ACCCAAAACCGACUUUGCCAGGGCAGUAAAAUCAAGUUCGGCUUGCUUUCUUAAUUUUGGGGUGUUGUCUAUGCACCAAAAUCAAAGUUCGUACCUCGAACUGACCACCCCAAAAAAAAUUCCCUGUUUUCUGAAAGGUUGUUUUUGUUCCCCAACAAGUCAGUCGUAUACGAUAUAUCGGUUGGUUGAUGAUUGAUCACACAGAGAUAAGCCACAAUUCGAAAGCGAGCAUUGCCAUAAGCGAUUCAUAGAAACGAAAAAAUACAAACGGCAGCGCAAAGAGGAAUGUUAAGCUAACAGCUCCAGAACGGAAAUCAGCUGUAACGAAUGUCUUCGUCCGUUCCGCAGAAAAAGGGAUCCGAUGGAUCAAUUUGCCAGAGCACAUCUGAUAAUCCUACGGUACUAGUUUUGCCGGAAACAAAUAAUCCUCUAUAAGGAUUAUGUUUGCCAUCGGAAGCUGGCAAAACCCGUUGAAUACAAUGCACUAUAUUCAUGCAAAACAAACAAAGCACAGCACGCUGCCUGCCAACUGCCUGUUUGGCCUGUUGCGAUGGCACCAAAAUUGUCGAAACCGGAAGAAGCGAAUGGCGAUCUGGAAAAACCCGGAUUUAGUAUUACAACUCACUGAAGACGGGAACUGCGGUUAACACUACGCUGGAUGGUCCAAAUGGUUCUUAAAGGAGUGCCAAUCUCCGGGAGGCAAGAUAACAUAAAACAUUUCAAGACAUUUUUCAUUCCUGGUUGGUGUGGUGAUCACCACAAUUAGAGCAUCAUUAUGGUCUGGCAACUUGUUUUU